GACCACUGGUCUAGUGGUUAGAGCGUCCGCCUAGGAUGCGGGAGGUCGUGGGUUCGAACCGCUGCUGGGUCA